AGACGGACACGGACCGAGGACAAACGCUGGUGUGCCCCAAGAUCAGUCUCAGGCUAUAGUAACACACUGAAGUGCUCUACUUAUUGAAGUGCUGACAGGAGCUUGCUAGGAAAACAUUUGGAAUUAACUAAGAACCUCAGGCUACAGAUGCUGCUAAGAGGAAAGGAAACACAGCAUCAAAUGAGACAUGAGACCAAACAGUGGCUCUUUAUCAGGAGUACCCACUGGGAAUGCCAUUCUCUGCUCUCAGGCAGAAGGUUUCUUCUGUGCACUCCUUGAGCUUUUCUUUUUUAAUAAUUUAAUAGUGAGCAUUUUUAGUUUCUCUACCAAAUGCAGGUUCUCUGAUCCAAGUGGCUGGGGAAAUAAAAACAACUAAAAAAGCUUAAGAGACUCCAGAACUACAAGAGCUGCUUAACUUCUGAGGGAAAUUGUGCUAUAAAAAAUGGUUUUAUGCUGUCAAGCACCCUGAAGUUAUAUGAGUAGGAGAACCUUUCCAAAGUAGCUCCAUG